GGGCUUACCAAGGCAACGAUUAGAGAAACAUGUGUUCCCCCUUCUGGAGAAGAUAUAAAAAUCAAUUUCGACGCCGGUUUUAGUCCGGGUCUUUUCAGCGGGUCUUUUCAGAGCAGGCUCAGGAGUGGUCGCUAGAGAUGGAAGGUGAAAAGUGAUCGCCUCCAGAGCGACCAUUUACGAGAAUGUUAGUUCGGCUUUCGCAGCAGAAGCACAUGCAUGUUUAGAGUUAGAACUGAAAGAUCGUAAAAUCUACAUUGAAGGGGACUCGAUCUCGGUCAUUAAGAAAUGCAUUUCAGAAUCCAAAGAAAAAUCAGAAAUCUGUUCCAUCAUCCACAGCAUAAAGGCUUUACAGAGCGAGUUCAAAUCUAUCAAAUUUCAUUAUGUCCAU
rnacentral:lncRNA from 1 species